rnacentral:lncRNA from 1 species
AAGAGUUCAUCUUCUCCAAAAAUUCUCUCUCUAGAACUCAAGGAAGAAGAAGAAGAAAGUUGAAGCUAGGGCUUGAAGAAUCAGUUUUUUUCUCCUCAAAUUCGUGGUAAAUAUUCAAUAAGGUAUGAUAACUCUUCAUCUAUGGGUAGCCUUCACUCAUAGAGCCCUUCCAAAACCCCCAAUUUCAAAACUAGAAAAUUCAAAAGUUAGGGUUUGACUUCAAUCUCAUGGAUUCCUUUCAAAUUCGUUUUAAAUGAUUGAAUUAUAUUUUUUUAUGAAUAUAUUGAUGAUUUAUAUGAUUUUAAGUUGAAUUCCUCAAGAAUCCAUGAAUUACCCUAUUUUCUCAAAUUGGAUCGUAAAGUGUGGGUAUUGAAUUAUGCAAGUAGAAUACUAUAGAAUUGUGAAUGUUAUGAAUUGAUUACUUGAAUCAUGUUAUCAUUCAUGUCUAAUGUAGUAAUUCUUGAUGUGUUGGUGAAAUUAUGAUCCAUGGUCCUUGAAGGGACAAAUUAUGAAGAAUUAUGUAUGAUCAUGAUUAUUUAUGUACAUUGUUUUAUGAAUACUUUAGAAAGUAAUGUGAUUAUGACUAUGAUGUAAUUGUGAUGUUGUUGAAAGGCUAUUCUCAAUUAUAUUCUUAUGAAUGAUGAUGACAUGUUGUGAACGAUUUUCUCACAAUAUGGGGAUUCUUAGGUUGAAAGGCUCUUCUCACCUAUUGAAUCUAUGAGCUAUCUAAUGAAUGCUGUUGGGUUGAGAUGGAUAUUGAUAGAGAUGAAAACUUAUACGUGAGUUGAGGCGGGGUUUCUAGUAACAAUCUUUUGAGAUGGAUACUCAUACAUGAGUUGAGGCGGGGUAUCUAGUAGCAAUCUCCAUAUUUCAUUUCUCCCAUAAUAAUGAACUCAAGUAAUGUAAUGAUAAUUACUUCGUGGGGAAUAAUGCCAAGCACCGAGUGGAUAUUGAUUGAGAUAGAAACUCAUACGUGAGUUGAGACGGGGUUUCUAGUAGCAAUCUCUUGAGAUGGAUGCCCAUACGUGAGUUGAGGUGGGGCAUCUAGUAGCAAUCUCCUUAUCCCAUAAACUAUGUGCCCUCAUAGGUUAUUAGCUAGUGGAUCCACCUAAGCUAAAUGUUACCGGUCCUACCUUAGGCAAGUAGACCACCCUUUUCGGUGUGGGUAACACCGGAUUCCAUGAUUUGCACACAUGGUCUAUGUCGGUUAAAGCUUACCCCCCACAAUGAAUAAAAAUGAACUAUGGCUUCUCAAGAAUGCACUACUUAGUGUGGGUGGGGGUAUGAGACUUCAUCCAUGCAUUGCACAAGUAUGCUUUGAGAGUUGUCAUAGUGUGUUCCUUUAUGUAAUAAUGUUUUAUGAAAUGAAUAUGCUUAUGAUGAUGCUACUAAGUAUGUUGAUAUGAAGGCUAAUGGUAAUGAAGUAUGCUUAAUGUGGAAUUUUGCUAUGAGUUGCUUUCCUUGAUAUGACUUAGUAAAUAUGAAGGUUUCCUUGUCUAUGAGUAUGAACUAAGGAUGACAUCAAAGAAUGGUAAGUAUGAUUAUGGUGGCCUAAUUAAAAGUGGUACUUAGUAUAGAUGUGAUUAUGGGAUCUUUAUCUAUGCAUUGCACAAGUAUAACUUAGGGUUACUUAUGAGAUGGUGCUAUUAUGCUAUGAUGGUCUAUAUGUUGAAUAUGCUUGUGACUUAUGCUUUUAUACUAAAGUGCAUGAUGAUUCUCAAACUUGGUAAAUGCAUGCUUUUUCAACUAAAAUGUCCUUUUUAGCAUGUUUUCAAGGUUUUUAUGCAUGGCUAUCAUACUUAGUGCAUAUUUGUACUAACCCAUAUUUUCUACAUUUUUCACAAAGUGUAGGUUCCGGUUCUUAAGGUGAUCUUCUUUUGGUUCAAGCUUGGAUCGACUAUUCUCCUAGCUUGUGGUGAGUCCUCAAGAUUCGAGGACGUAUGAGUCAUUAGUAGUUUCUUUCUAGUUAUUUCAUUUUGGAUUGUUGAAAGGGUUGUGACCCUAUUUUUGAUUCAAAGAUUGUAUUAGAUGGCUAAUUGAGACAAGUUUAGACUUCCUCUUGCUUUAAUAAAAGACUUCGAUUGUAUGGACAAAGUUUUAAAA